AUUGAACGCUGGCGGCAUGCCUUACACAUGCAAGUCGAACGGCAGCACGGGAGCAGUCCUGGUGGCGAGUGGCGAACGGGUGAGUAAUGUAUCGGAACGUGCCCAGUCGUGGGGGAUAACGUAGCGAAAGCUACGCUAAUACCGCAUACGAUCUAUGGAUGAAAGCGGGGGACCGUAAGGCCUCGCGCGAUUGGAGCGGCCGAUAUCAGAUUAGGUAGUUGGUGGGGUAAAGGCCUACCAAGCCGACGAUCUGUAGCUGGUCUGAGAGGACGACCAGCCACACUGGGACUGAGACACGGCCCAGACUCCUACGGGAGGCAGCAGUGGGGAAUUUUGGACAAUGGGCGCAAGCCUGAUCCAGCAAUGCCGCGUGCAGGAUGAAGGCCUUCGGGUUGUAAACUGCUUUUGUACGGAGCGAAAAGGCUCUCUCUAAUACAGGGGGCUCAUGACGGUACCGUAAGAAUAAGCACCGGCUAACUACGUGCCAGCAGCCGCGGUAACAC
rnacentral:rRNA from 1 species